CCUACGGGUGGCAGCAGUGGGGAAUAUUGCUCAAUGGGGGAAACCCUGAAGCAGCAACGCCGCGUGGAGGAUGAAGGUUUUCGGGUUGUAAACUCCUUUUGUUAGAGAAGAUAAUGACGGUAUCUGACGAAUAAGCACCGGCUAACUCCGGGCCAGCAGCCGCGGUAAUACGGAGGGUGCAAGCGUUACACGGAAUCACUGGGCGUAAAGAGCGCGUAGGCGGGAUAGCAAGUCAGAUGUGAAAGCCUAUGGCUUAACCAUAGAAUUGCAUUUGAAACUGUUAGUCUAGAGUAUGGGAGAGGUAGGUGGAAUUCUUGGUGUAGGGGUAAAAUGCGUAGAUAUCAAGAGGAAUACUCAUUGCGAAGGCGACCGGCUAGAACAUAACUGACGCUGAUGCGCGAAAGCGUGGGGAGCAAACAGGAUUAGAUACCCCGGUAGUC
rnacentral:rRNA from 1 species